GAAGAGCAUACCUCUUGUGUUUAUUUCAGUUUAAGCAUUAUUUCAAUUUCGCAAUAUUACCUGUACCAAUAGAUGCACAUCAUAUCAGAUGUCACUUGUGGACCAGUUCCUGGAUCAUAUGAUAAUGCUAGAGCUGAAUAUGACAUCUGUUCCACCCCUGAAGUCUAGCACUUUAUCACUAGGAAAUCAUGCCCCCCUGACAAUUCAUUAGCUUAAGUGUCAAAGAAAACAGUCCAUGCUUUAGCCACAUUAGAGCAUCUUUUUGAUAGGCAAUGGUGCACUGGAAAGAUUUGUGCAGACUCAUCUUGUGGGUCAGCUCAUGAACAGAAUGAUACACACAAAAUGUCAGGAGGCAGGAUUGGUGAAGUGGGAAAUUCUCCAACCUGACUUUAUAAUUACUGAUGCAUUAAUCUUCUAUAA
rnacentral:sRNA from 1 species